CCACCCCUUCCUCCUGUUCCAGUUCUCCUUCCCCACCCGCAACCCAGCCAGAGACGAGGGAGAGCAAGCAAAGCAAAGCAAAUCAAUCGAAAUCAGAUCGAAACCAACCCUAGCACGCUGCCCCGGAUCCGAUCCGAUCGGAUCCCUCGAUGGCCCGCUCGCCGCCGCCUCCUCCGUCGGCCGGCGGCGCUCAGUACGCGCAGCAGUUCCUCAACACGGCGCUCUCGCAGCGGGGCCCCUCCGCGCUGCCCUACGCCGAGGACGUCAAGUGGCUGAUCCGCAACCACCUGGUGGCGCUGGCCGAGGCCUUCCCCUCCCUCCACCCCAAGGCCGCCCUCUUCACCCACAACGACGGCCGCGCCGCUCACCUCCUCCAGGCCGACGGCACCAUCCCCAUCCACCACGCCGGCGCCUCCUACAACCUCCCCGCCGUCAUCUGGCUUCCCGAGCCCUACCCGCGCUCCCCGCCGCUCGUCUUCCUCUCCCCCACCCGCGACAUGGUCAUCAAACCCCACCACCCGCUCGUCGACCGCUCCGGCCUCGUCGCCAACGCGCCCUACCUCCGCUCCUGGGUCUUCCCCUCCUCCAACCUCGUCGACCUCGUCCGAUCCCUCUCCCACCUCUUCGGCCUCGACCCGCCCCUCUUCACCAGGAACCCUCCUCCUGCCGCCAAUCCCUCGCCGCAGCCUCCGCCCCCGCGGGUCUCUCCUUCCCCCUCCCCCUCCCCCUCUCCCUCCUACAGGCUCGGCGGCUUCCCCGCAUCGCCCCAGCUCGCCCCCCGCCCGCCCCCCACCGAGGACCCCGCCGAGGUCUUCAAGCGCAACGCCGUCGCCAAGCUCGUCGACAUGGCCUACGCGGAUGCCGCUGCCCUGCGGACCGCGCGCGAGGCCGAGGUUGACGCCCUCUUCGCCGUCCAGGCGGAGCUGCGCCACAGGGGUGACCUCGUCGCCCAAGGGGUGCGCAAGAUGGGGGAGGAGAAGGAGGCGCUUGAGCGCCGCCUGCAGGACGUCAUGAUGGCCACCGAUGUCGUGGAGGCCUGGGUCACGGAGAACACCAGGAGAGGCAACACCCAGGCCACGGAGGGCGCCAUCGAGCCAGCAGACGUGCUCUCCAGGCAGAUGAUCGAGUGCACAGCCGCAGAUUUGGCGCUUGAGGAUACCAUCUACGCGCUUGACAAGGCCAUUCAGGAAGGAUCUGUGCCCUUUGACGGCUACCUCAGGAGCGUGCGCGCACUGUCACGCGAGCAGUUUUUCCACCGCGCGCUGUCUGCCAAGGUUCACACUGCGCAACAGCAGGCUAAAGUUGCUAGCAUGGCAGCCCGGGCACCACAGUACUCAUCCUAGGGAUGAUGGUCAGUAUACUUGCUUGGUCUACAGCCGAUCCGAUUUUGUCUGUCUUGAUGAUGAGGCCUUCUUGGUCCUCAUUUGUUAAGUGCAGUGCAAUCAUGAUGAAAUUCAUGCAUUAGCUGAUUGAGAUUGCAUGGGUUCAUGAUCACCUUGGAAGGUUGGAUUUUCAUUCCUUAGUUUCUAAUGGCGCCUAUGUGAAAGCUGGGAAUUGUUAAGUUGAUCAGUUCUAAGUUCGGGAUAAGGUUGCUAGCAUGGCACCACAGGCAACACAGUACGCAACGUAGGAAUGAUGGGUGAUUAACUGUACAAUAUUUUAUGAAGAAAGCGAAUUCAUUCAAGUUGCUGGCCGUUUGAGAUGGAGGCAUUCAACAUUUACAUUGUGUUGUCAUGGAGCCCUGCAAAUAUUUUGGAUGUCGUAACACUGUACUAGAGUUUGAAAUUCCCUGGAUGGUUAUGGGAGUUUUUGGUUGGGCUAUUGAACCUGUGCGGUACAAAUAUAGUUUCAAGGAAUUUGGAGUUGGGUAAA